GUUAUCACCAGUAUUGUUCAAGCCGGCCUGGUAACGAGAAUCCAGUCACGUGAAAACGCAGAAAUUAAGUCGGAUAUUUUGCCCGAAAACGAAGAAGAAUGGAAAAUCGAAGCUUAUCUACAGGAUUAAGAUGUUGCUCCACACAAGUAAGCCAAAAUUAAAAGCAAUUGACAAACCUUAGACCGGCAGGAAAAGCAGUUGAACCAGAGUCGAUGUGUCGCGUGUCGCUUCAAAGAAGUAAUGCUGCGUUGGCUGUAGAGCUCUACAGCUACUCCAUAGACUGGAAGACGUCCGUCCGGUGAAAGAAGAGAAAACUGGGAUUCGUCUGAUUAUACACAUUACAGUUUCUAUCCAAUGUCGGUAUCCCAUGUAAUCUCUAAGCGGUCCCAUCGAUGAAGCAGUGGGAAACAAAUGUCUUACAGAGUGAAAUUUGAUAAAUUGGUCGUCAGCAGGUCUCCUAGCUCAUGGACGUGAGCUCAUGAAUCUUCGUUUCAGGCAAAUCUAAAACUCUGGAAUCGAAACACUGAUUUCUUCCAUCCUCAACAGUGUAAUGGCACGGGCAGCCUGCUCGCUGAUUAUAGGCAUUUUUAUAAACGUUUUGUCCUGUGCCACCAACACAAUAAUAAAUUUGUGUGUUUUAAAGGAUUAACUCCCAUUAUUGAUGAUUUUCAUUGUGUAGAUUUAAAAUCAAAUUAGAAAUUUAGCGGUUUUGCCACCCAAUCGGCGACAAAAACAAAUACUUUACGUCUCAUAUUAUAAUUAUGAAAUCAUUUUUAAAGCAGUGAGACAAAAAAUAUGGCCAAAACAUUGUCAAAUUAAAAAAGAAAUAUAAAUUUGAAAGUGCGCCCCUUUUUUGUUGUCUAGCUUGGUUGUUAUAUUUGUGUUAAAUUGAUAAAAUCAGGCAAGUAUAUGUAGGGUCAAAUUGGGUUUUAAAGUUUAUCAUUAAACGUUAUAAAUGUUAUUUUUACGU